UCAACCAAAAGACACAUGACAUUUACCAGUAAGAUCCCUCAUAUUAAUAUUCUUGUGUUGAUAGGAAGUAAAUCAGCGCAUGACUUCAACCAGUCAGCAGGGGGAGCUCUCAAUCGUUUGACUUCAAGCUAAGUUGAAACUUUAGCGUUCAUUUCAUUAAAGUCUUUGGUUACAUCAUCGUCACACGGCAGCAGUUGCACCCUUUGAGCUACCUCUGGGAAACACGUGCACCAAGCAUGAGGAGAUACUCACUCACUGUGAAAUCAAGGCUUUUACCUGUCACAAGCUGCACCUGGUUCGAAGACAACCCAUAUGUUGGCAGCUAUACGUUCACAAUCCAUCCCGUGCCAUGACUUAAUCAUAAGUUUUAUAGCCUCCAAUGCUCACAUAUAUGUUCUGUUAUUGUUCACAGAUGCAGAGCGCCAGAGUCUCUCCCGGCACGCAGUGGGCGAGAGGUAAAACACAGGCUGUCAGUCAAAGGGCUGACACACAUUCACACCCACAGGCGGUUUGGAGAUUCCAACGCUGCUUACCUGCGUGUGUUUGGACUAUCGGAGGAAGCACCUGGAGGAAAAACAGACAGAAGGAGAGAACAUGUGGAAUUCACAACGAAAAGCCUCGGGUCUUUGGAUUCAAAGUUGCAAAGUCGCUCUAUGUAAGGAUGGAUGAAAGGAUGCAAAAGGAUGAAUGGUGAAACUGGCUGCCAACGAACGGAGUAUGUUUCAAACAGAUGCAACAUGAAGGCCGGGUAAAGCCUCGAUUUCACGGGACGUGAUUAUCUCCUGCUCAUGCUUGGUGCAUGUUUCCCAGAGGGAGCUUAAAAGGUGCAACUGCCGCUGAGCGACAAUGAUGUAACACAUGAACCACCUUUCCCA